CCCCUCGCCGGCACGUCCCGGGCGCCCCCGCGGGCCAUGGAGCUGGUGGCCGGCAAUCUCAGCGAGGGGAACGCGAGCGCGCCGGAGCCGCCCGGCCCGGAGCCGCCGCCGCUCUUCGGCAUAGGCGUGGAGAACUUCCUCACGCUGGUGGUGUUCGGCCUGAUCUUCGCGCUCGGCGUGCUGGGCAACAGCCUGGUGAUCACCGUGCUGGCGCGCAGCAAGCCGGGCAAGCCGCGCAGCACCACCAACCUGUUCAUCCUGAACCUGAGCAUCGCCGACCUGGCCUACCUGCUGUUCUGCAUCCCCUUCCAGGCCACGGUGUACGCGCUGCCCACCUGGGUGCUGGGCGCCUUCAUCUGCAAGUUCAUCCACUACUUCUUCACGGUGUCCAUGCUGGUCAGCAUCUUCACCCUGGCCGCGAUGUCCGUGGACCGCUACGUGGCCAUCGUGCACUCGCGGCGCUCGUCCUCCCUGCGGGUGUCCCGCAACGCGCUGCUGGGCGUGGGCUGCAUCUGGGCUCUGUCCAUCGCCAUGGCCUCGCCCGUGGCCUACCACCAACGCCUCUUCCACCGGGACGUCAGCAACCAGACCUUCUGCUGGGAGGAGUGGCCCAACCCGCGCCACAAGAAAGCCUACGUGGUGUGCACGUUCGUCUUCGGCUAUGUGCUGCCGCUUCUGCUCAUCUGCUUCUGCUAUGCCAAGGUCCUUAAUCAUUUGCAUAAAAAGUUGAAGAACAUGUCCAAGAAGUCAGAAGCAUCCAAGAAAAAGACGGCACAGACGGUCCUGGUGGUGGUCGUGGUUUUUGGGAUCUCCUGGCUGCCGCACCAUGUCAUCCAUCUCUGGGCUGAGUUUGGAGUUUUCCCGCUGACGCCUGCCUCCUUCCUCUUCAGAAUCCUGGCCCAUUGCCUGGCGUACAGCAAUUCCUCGGUGAAUCCUAUCAUAUACGCAUUUCUCUCUGAAAACUUCAGGAAGGCCUAUAAGCAAGUGUUCAAGUGCCACCUGCGCCAUGAGUCACCUCUCAAUGACACUAAAGAAAAUAAAAGUCGAAUGGACACCCCACCCUCAACCCAUUGUACUCACGUGUGAAGAAAGACACAUCCGAGCACUCGCCUGGUGGAUUCCGUACACGUGGGCCAGACACUGAAAAGUACGCAAACACAGCUUACAUAUGCAACGGUUCUCUGGCUAGACUAGGAGAAAAUUGUUAGAGAGGAUGGGAAAUCAAGAGCUUUCAUGUUUGAUGGCUGGGGAAAGAAGCUGUGUAUGAGUAUUUAAGUAUUUGAAGGAAAAGCAGAAGUCCUGCGUGUGGAACAUUUUUCGCACUUCAUGCAAACCCAGCAGCAGAUACGCAUUAUCCUGACAAUGAAGCCUCAUGUGCUUUGCGGAACUGGAGGUGUCAUUGCAAAGCCAGAGCAGCUUCUGUGUGUGACUCUUCAACUGCACAGAGGGGCCUCCUGGUGGCCUCUGCACUUGCAUGGAUGAGAAUAACUUCCUGCACCGUGGACGGCUGACCCCUGUUCACCUCUCCGAUUCCUGCGCACACAAAUGGAAGCAGUAAAAAGAAUGCUGCUGUGUUCUAAGACGCAUUGCAAAUGCGCUUCCAGGAUGCAGUUGCCCACGUCUUUCUUCUGCUCCCUCCUGGAUGAAGUGGGCGUGAGGCUCAGUACUGGAGGGAUAGCUGACCUGCAGACCCCUGGUGUUCCCAGUGUCAAUGCAAAUCGCUUCAUUUCGUAGUCAGGUGGGUUGUCCUUCCUUCCCAUUGUUGCUUUAAUCAGAGUUUAGCUUGUUUCUCCUACACUGAGUUUUGCUAUGAUGAUAACGUAUGUCCUGCAAGGAUCUCAGCCUGUGAAGUUUUCUGAACACAGAGUUCCAGAAGAACUUGUAGCAGACUGAUCACCCCAAGAAGUGAGAGGUGUUGGGGCUCGCCUGCCAAUCUGGGUAGCUACUUUCCUGAUACUGUAUAGAAUUAAUGUGACCAAUCCAGAAGCACCUUCUCUUCCUGCUGGAAGCACAGGAGUUCUCCCCACCGCAGGCGUCAUCCUCCUGCAGCUAGGCUCCAGGAGAAAUACCGCGUGUGCAUUUGAAGUCAAGCUGCCUGAAAACCUGGGUUUUCAGUGAACUUCAAAGAAAAUCAAUGCCUUCUCCUCAGAUUUGGCUGCCUUGGUGCCCCAAGGCAGCUGUUAUUUUUCUGGGCCUUUUGAUUUCACAUAGGGAGACAGGCUCUGGGAUAUUUAAAUGCUCGCUGUUUCCUAUGUAUAAGCAACGAUUUCCAUUUCCUACUGCUAAAUAGUGACGUGGUGGGCAAGGCUUUUUCUCCUGUUUCCCCAGCAGAUAUCUUAAGACAGAUUCUCUCUCUGCUGUUCUGACUUGUUUGUGCUCAGCAGCGUGGGAACUGAUGCCAUUUUCUGAACAUUUGAGGUAAACUUUUGCUGUUAAUGAGCUUGUUCUCCAGCUCACAUUGGAAGGAAACCACCAUUUCCUUCGCCCCUGCCCUACCCCGCCAACCUCUGUGGUUCUCUCUCCAACUCCCUUCUCUCCUGAGCUCCCGACUCUAGCUGUCCCCACCGUGAAAUUCCUCCUCCUCCUCAGAUAGAAGGAGCCGGAGCGGGAGGAGGGAGAGGCAUGGCUGAGCUGCAUGAGUCAUCACCGCGAAGGCUUCUGUGACUCACCUGGGAUCGUGGCACAGCAGACCACUGCGUUUGCUGGGUGUCUCAGAAGCGUUGACACACCACAUUAAUAACCCCAACAUGUUAGUUGAACCCCAAGGUCAGGUUUGUUCUGAGCAGGAGGUGAGAACUCAUCUAAGCACCGGCUCCUUCCCCGCAGAGCCACAGCUCACUGCGAGUUCCGAAGGGCGCACAGGUACCAUUGAAGCAGCGUUCCCCUGAGAAAAAUGGCCUGUCGUGUAACUCUGCCCUUCCUGCUUAGAGCACUUAUGAAACCCAUGCACAUAAACCACAUAGUCCUGAAAUUGGGCAUCUAUAUCAAUGUGUUCAUUUUCUCUGCAAACUCAUCAUCUGAAAUUUGUAAAUUUUGGUCUACGCUGGUUGCAACUAUCUCCCAGGGUUUACAUUCGUAAGUGGCUUUCUAUUUAAGGUACUUAUAGUUUUCUUGGCCAUUGAAAAUGUGUUGCAUGUUAAGUUAUUUGUCACGUAGAUGUUAGUGACUUGUUUAUCUAAUGACUUGUUUGUUUGUAAAAAGCUAUACAUAGUAAGAGUGGGUGGCCUAAAAUGCUGAUGGUUACUUGUUGUCUACGAAAGAAAAGAAUUACAAGAUGGUCAUGUUAUCUGAUUCUAACUUAUUCCGUAUUUUAAUAACUCCUCUUUUGGAAAUGGAAAGGUUCAGCCUGAACAGUUUAGAGUGCUUAAGGCUGCCCCGAUGUGGGCUGAAUCCAGGGCCAGCCUGCCUACGGAGAGGGCCCCGUGUGUCCUAACUGUCUGGCAGGAUGUUUUGUUUACUGUGAAGGUGCCACCGGUUCCAGAAGGUGGUUCCCGUGAGUGUCAGGUUCACUCACAGCCCUGUGUACCUUUGGCUACCGUGCUGGGUUCCCCAGCUCAGCACAGCUGCCUGCAAGGUUUGACAAGACCUUGCGAAAUGCACGCAGCCUCAGACUUUGCUUUCAGCUGAGCUCCUCACUGCUGCUCCUGGGCCCAGGCUCCAGCCACCACAGCUUUUGUUCACAAGCUUCUGAGCCCUGGGGUCCUGUUCUGAGUGCAGCCAUGGUGACAUGGGUCACCUGGGGAGUGUGAGCAGACAGGUAGGCUGCUGAGUUGCCAUUGACUUAUGUAAACACUGUGGGAAUAAGCUCAGCAGGACUUGCUCUCCGGCUGUUUUCAUGUUGGCUAAGUUCGCCAUAGACAGAUGAUUGUACGAAGAGCACAUCUGCUAGUUAAAGCUUUUGAUGUCACUUUGGGGGUGGAUCACCUCAUCCUCUUUGCUGGGGAACAGACUCCUGAAUACUCAAAGUAUAUUGUGUGUGUCCCAAUUCUCAGCAGUUAGAAGCGUCAGUGUGAAGACGGCCAGCUGCUCGGGGCUUGGGGCUGGUGGGCAUUGUGCCGCUGUGGAGGGCUGCUAAUUGUGUCCACUCCUCUGGGGAGACCCGGGCAGGUAAGUGAGCUGCCCUUCAUCCAUCAUCUGUCAUGAAUGGAGGUGACAUCUAGGAGGGGACCCUGGGGCACAGAGCAACGGCCAGUGAAAGAACCAGAGUGACCAGAGCUCCUGUCAUUUCACUUGUCAUCACAAGUAUUGCCAGUUAGACGGCGUCUCUUUCUAGAAGCAGCAGAGGUCCAGGAAAGCAGAGGCGGGAGGGGCCACGUUGAUUUGCAGUGGAGACCUUCCCAUUUUGUUAGAAGAAAAAAAUCAGCGUGAACUGAGAGGAGCCCCUGAGACUCUGCCCCCUGAGAGCAUGGUUCUCAAAAGCACCAACAUGGAUCGCCUGCAGAGCUGGUUCAAACACCUCCAGAAUUUCUGACUCAGGAGACCUGAGCGGGGCCCUCAGACUGCCUUUCUAACAGGCUCUUUGGUGACACUGAUGCUGCUGGUCCAGGGACCACAGGUCUGGACGUGGAGCCCGGGUACUUUGUAAGGCCUCCAGGAGCCAGAGUUAGAGCCACUCCCGCUGAGGAGACGGCCCUUUACAAGUCCAAACCUCUAUGGUUCUGUGAAAAACCUUUGCUUAUAUCGGAUCCAAAUCAUGCGGAUAUUUAUGUUUUACACUGAUCAGGUUCAUAGUACAUCUGUUCAACUAUUUCAAUACCCUAGCUACAGAAAUGAGAAUGUAUUCAACAGUCUGAAGGACUUUGAUAACUCCAUAUAAGGGUUUCAGAGAUCAUCACAAAUUUUUCCUUCAAAAAAAUAAAUCAAAAAGUUGGUGGAAAGAGCACCUCUAUAUUCAAUGAUCCCUUCAAGAUGUAGAGGGGUAAAUAUAAUGUCCAAAAUGUCACAUGUGGAUUUCUGAACUCAAUGUUUGUAUUGUUUGCAUGUAUUUCUGUGUGGCUGCUAACUUUUAACUACAUUAUUAUCUCUAGGAGAUAAAUGUAAUUCUUCUGUGUUUAAAGAUUUUCAAUCAAAUAUCUCCUGCUAACAUAGUAGUGCAGAUAAGGAAGACAAUCUCUGUAUAUUGUGUUUUUAUUUUACUAAUGUGAUCGCUCAAACACGGUUAUACAAGUAAUGCCGAGCACGGGUCUCACACCAGAUGCUGUUACAAUUGUUCUCUAGGGUCUGCCUCUCUAAAAUUUGUCUUACCAUUGGUGAAUUUUGCAUGGAUGUCACUUAGCAUGAAUACCAUACCAGUAAGCUUGCAAAGCUAAAACUCAAAAUUAAGAGCUUAUAUUAAUCCACUUAGUAGCACGUACAGUCCUUCUAAUCACCCUCCCUCUGUGUUCUGCAUGAAAUCCAGCUGGAAUUUGGGAUUUGGACCAACUUGCUUGACUUGAAAAUAAAAUGUGUGCCUCAUUCUUGUUUAUGACUAUGUCAUUUUCAAGCAAAGUGUAAUUGCACCAUUUGUAAGGCAUUUCCUAAAGUAUAGGCACAUUGCACAAGGUUGUUGAAUGAAGUUAGUUUCACUCUU